rnacentral:rRNA from 1 species
AAGAUGGCGACCGGCGCACGGGUGAGUAACACGUAUCCAACCUGUCGAUAACUCUGGAAUAGCCUUUCGAAAGAAAGAUUAAUACCGGAUAGUAUACGAAUAUCGCAUGAUAUUUUUAUUAAAGAAUUUCGGUUAUCGAUGGGGAUGCGUUCCAUUAGUUUGUUGGCGGGGUAACGGCCCACCAAGACUACGAUGGAUAGGGGUUCUGAGAGGAAGGUCCCCCACAUUGGAACUGAGACACGGUCCAAACUCCUACGGGAGGCAGCAUG